rnacentral:rRNA from 1 species
GAUGAACGCUGGCGGCGUGCCUAAUACAUGCAAGUCGAGCGAACGGACGAGAAGCUUGCUUCUCUGAUGUUAGCGGCGGACGGGUGAGUAACACGUGGAUAACCUACCUAUAAGACUGGGAUAACUUCGGGAAACCGGAGCUAAUACCGGAUAAUAUAUUGAACCGCAUGGUUCAAAAGUGAAAGACGGUCUUGCUGUCACUUAUAGAUGGAUCCGCGCUGCAUUAGCUAGUUGGUAAGGUAACGGCUUACCAAGGCAACGAUGCAUAGCCGACCUGAGAGGGUGAUCGGCCACACUGGAACUGAGACACGGUCCAGACUCCUACGGGAGGCAGCAGUAGGGAAUCUUCCGCAAAGGGCGAAAGCCUGACGGAGCAACGCCGCGUGAGUGAUGAAGGUCUUCGGAUCGUAAAACUCUGUUAUUAGGGAAGAACAUAUGUGUAAGUAACUGUGCACAUCUUGACGGUACCUAAUCAGAAAGCCACGGCUAACUACGUG